AUUAGGAGGAAAGGUGGCCUCUUCAUGAAAGCUACCGUGUAGGGAUGAGCCUGCGUACCAUUAGCUAGUAGGUGGGUAAUGGCCCACCUAGGCUACGAUGGUUAGCGGGUCUGAGAGGAUGAUCCGCCACACUGGAACUGGAACACGGACCAG
rnacentral:rRNA from 1 species